rnacentral:misc_RNA from 1 species
CUUAUGCUGCAAGUUGUAUAGAGAAACUCAUGCUGGUCAAGGAUGAUGGAGGACGGCCGCGGUACAAUUCAGCAGAUAUUACUCCAUUUUUACAAGGUCUAAUGAGUAACCUCUUCAAUGCCCUGAAGUUUCCAGAGUCUGAGGAGAAUCAAUAUGUAAUGAAGUGUAUCAUGCGGGUUCUAGGAGUGGCAGAAAUAUCCCCCGAGAUUGCUGCACCUUGCAUUGCUGGAUUGACCUCAAUCCUAAAUGAGGUUUGCAAAUCAAUGAAGUUUGUAAAAAUCCAAAGAAUCCUAUAUUCAACCAUUACCUCUUUGAAUCGGUGGCUGUUCUUUUUAGGCGUGCAUGUGAGAGGGACAUCUCU